rnacentral:rRNA from 1 species
CAGAAGUGAGCAUGCAGGCAUGAGUAGCGAUAAUUAAGGUGAGAAUCCUUAACGCCGAAAACCCAAGGUUUCCUACGCGAUGCUCGUCAUCGUAGGGUUAGUCGGGUCCUAAGUCGAGACUGAAAAGUGUAGACGAUGGCAAAUUGGUUAAUAUUCCAAUACCAACAUAUAAGCGCGAUGUGGGGACGCAUAGAGUUAAUCGAGCUCACUGAUGGAAUAGUGGGUCGAAGGACGUAGGUUGUUAAGUAGGCAAAUCCGAUUAACGUUAGACCGAGAUCUUACAGGCUCUUGACACUCUUCGGAGGAGAUGGAGAAUCGAUGAUACUGUCGUGCCAAGAAAAGCCACUAAGUUUAUUAUAUGUUGCCCGUACCGUAAACCGACACAGGUGGGUGGGAUGAGUAUUCUAAGGCGCGUGGAAGAACCCUCUUUAAGGAACUCUGCAAAAUAGCACCGUAUCUUCGGUAUAAGGUGUGCCUACUUUGGUAUAUGGACUUGCUCCAAAAAGCUAGAGAGGUUGCAACAGAGAGUCCCUCCCGACUGUUUUACCAAAAACACAGCACUUUGCUAACACGUAAGUGGAUGUAUAAGGUGUGACGCCUGCCCGGUGCUCGAAGGUUAACUGAUGAUGUCAGCGCAAGCGAAGCAUUUGAUUGAAGCCCGAGUAAACGGCGGCCGUAACUAUAACGGUCCUAAGGUAGCGAAAUUCCUUGUCAGUUAAAUACUGACCUGCAUGAAUGGCGUAACGAGAUGGGAGCUGUCUCAAAGAGGGAUCCAGUGAAAUUGUAGUGGAGGUGAAAAUUCCUCCUACCCGCGGAAAGACGGAAAGACCCCGUGCACCUUUACUACAGCUUGACACUGUAGCUUGGAUAUUCAUGUGCAGGAUAGGUGGGAGGCUAUGAUGACUAGACGCAAGUAGAGUCGGAGCCAUCCUUGAGAUACCACCCUUGAAUAUUUGAGUUACUAACUGCGAUGAGUUAUCCUCAUUCAGGACAAUGUCUGGUGGGUAGUUUGACUGGGGCGGUCGCCUCCUAAAUAGUAACGGAGGCUUACAAAGGUUAGUUCAAAGCGGUUGGAAAUCGCUUGUUGAGUAUAAUGGCAUAAACUAGCUUGACUGUGAGACCUACAAGUCGAACAGAGACGAAAGUCGGUCAUAGUGAUCCGGUGGUUCUGCGUGGAAGGGCCAUCGCUCAAAGGAUAAAAGGUACGCCGGGGAUAACAGGCUGAUCUCCCCCAAGAGCUCACAUCGACGGGGAGGUUUGGCACCUCGAUGUCGGCUCAUCGCAUCCCGGGGCUGCAGUCGGUCCCAAGGGUAUGGCUGUUCGCCAUUUAAAGCGGUACGCGAGCUGGGUUCAGAACGUCGUGAGACAGUUCGGUCCCUAUCUUCCGUGGGCGUAGGAAAGUUGAAGAGAUUUGUCCCUAGUACGAGAGGACCGGGAUGAACCAACCACUGGUGUACCAAUUGUUCUGCCAAGAGCAUCGUUGGGUAGCCACGUUGGGAUGUGAUAAGAGCUGAAAGCAUCUAAGCUCGAAGCCAACUCUAAGAUGAACUUUCCCUGAAGUUCCCAGCAAGACUAGCUGGUUG